rnacentral:sRNA from 1 species
GCCAGGUGUGAUAGCGCACACCUGUAAUUCCAGUGGCUUAGGAGGCUGAGGCAGGAGGAUUGCAAGUUCAAAGCCAGCCUCAGCAAUUUAGUGAGGCCCUAAGCAACUUAGGGCGACCCUGUCUCUA